UACGUAGGUGGCAAGCGUUGUUCCGGAUUUACUGGGCGUAAAGAGCGCGCAGGCGGCCGAGUAAGUCGAAUGUGAAAGCCCCCGGCUCAACUGGGGAAGGUCAUUCGAUACUGUUCGGCUCGAAGAUAGGAGAGGGAAGCGGAAUUUCAGGUGUAGUGGUGAAAUGCGUAGAUAUCGGGAGGAACACCAGUGGCGAAGGCGACUUCCUGGCCUGUUCUUGACGCUGAGGCGCGAAAGCUAGGGUAGCAAACGGGG
rnacentral:rRNA from 1 species